AAACAUUUCUUAAAGAUAUAAUUUUAAGUACUUUCUGCUCCAUGUUUCAUAAAUAGCCGCAGAAUUUAACUGUGCUAAGGUAGCAUAAUCAUUAGUUUUUUAAUUAAAAACUAGAAUGAACGAAACAACAAUUCAACACCUUUUUUAACUUAAAUAAUAAAAAUUUUAUUAAAUAUAAAAAUAUAUUUAUAAUUUAGAAAGACGACAAGACCCUAUCAAACUUAACUUAUGUUAAGCUGGGGCAGCUAAUUAAAAACAAUUUUAAUUUAAAUAUUUAAAAAAAAGAUCCAAUAAAAUUGAUUAAAUGAACAAGUUACUGUAGGGAUAACAGCGUUAUAAUUUUUUGAAGUUCUUAUUUAAAAAAAAGUUUGCGACCUCGAUGUUGAAUUAUUUUACUUUAAAAAGCAAAAUUUUUAUAAGUAGGCCUGUUCGGCCUUUAAUUUUUUACAUGAUCUGAGU
rnacentral:rRNA from 1 species